UACGUAGGUGGCAAGCGUUAUCCGGAAUUACUGGGCGUAAAGCGCACGCAGGCGGUCUUUUAAGUUUGACGUGAAAGCUCUCGGCUUAACUUGGAGAGGUCGUUGAAGACUGGAAGGCUUGAGGCAAUGAGAGGGGUGUAGAAUUCCCGGUGUAGUGGUGGAAUGCGUAGAUAUCGGGGGGAAUACCAGUGGCGAAAGCGGCACCCUAGCGUUAGCCUGACGCUCAUGUGCGAAAGCGUGGGGAGCGAACGGG
rnacentral:rRNA from 1 species